UGCCAGCAGCCGCGGUAAUACAUAAGGGGCGAGCGUUAUCCGGAAUUAUUGGGCGUAAAGGGUGCGUAGGCGGUUUAAUAAGUCUAUAGUUUAAUUUCAGUGCUUAACGCUGUUGUGCUAUAGAAACUGUUUUACUAGAGUGAGUUAGAGGCAAGCGGAAUUCCAUGUGUAGCGGUAAAAUGCGUAAAUAUAUGGAGGAACACCAGAGGCGUAGGCGGCUUGCUGGGACUUUACUGACGCUGAGGCACGAAAGCGUGGGGAGCAAACAGGAUUAGAUACCCUGGUAGUCCACACCGUAAACGAUGAGUACUAAGUGUCGGGUAAAACCGGUACUGAAGUUAACACAUUAAGUACUCCGCCUGAGUAGUACGUACGCAAGUAUGAAACUUAAAGGAAUUGACGGGACUCCGCACAAGCGGUGGAUCAUGUUGUUUAAUUCGAAGAUACACGAAAAACCUUACCAGGUCUUGACAUUUUCUUGCGAAGUUAUAGAAAUAUAAUGGAGGUUAUCAGGAAAACAGGAGGUGCAUGGUUGUCGUCAGCUCGUGUCGUGAGAUGUUAGGUUAAGUCCUAAAACGAGCGCAACCCUUGUCGUUAAUUGCCAGCAUGUAAUGAUGGGGACUUUAACGAGACUGCCAAUGAAAAAUUGGAGGAAGGUGGGGAUUACGUCAAAUCAUCAUGCCCCUUAUGAUCUGGGCUACAAACGUGAUACAAUGGUUGAUACAAAGA
rnacentral:rRNA from 1 species